GAUGAACGCUGGCGGCGUGCCUAAUACAUGCAAGUCGAGCGAACAGACGAGGAGCUUGCUCCUCUGACGUUAGCGGCGGACGGGUGAGUAACACGUGGAUAACCUACCUAUAAGACUGGGAUAACUUCGGGAAACCGGAGCUAAUACCGGAUAAUAUAUUGAACCGCAUGGUUCAAUAGUGAAAGACGGUUUUGCUGUCACUUAUAGAUGGAUCCGCGCCGCAUUAGCUAGUUGGUAAGGUAACGGCUUACCAAGGCAACGAUGCGUAGCCGACCUGAGAGGGUAAUCGGCCACACUGGAACUGAGACACGGUCCAGACUCCUACGGGAGGCAGCAGUAGGAAAACUUCCGAAAUGGGCGAAAGCUUGACGAAGCAACGCCGCGUGGGUGAUGAAGGUCUUCGGAUCGUAAAACUCUGUUAUGAGGAAAGAACAAAUGUGUAAGUAACUAUGCACGUCUUGACGGUACCUAAUCAGAAAGCCCCGGCUAACUACGG
rnacentral:rRNA from 1 species